AAACUAUGCUACAGAGUUACAGUAGCCAAAACCACAUGGUACUAGUACAAGAGCUGACACAUAGACCAAUGGAACAGAAUAAAGAAUCCAGAAAUAAAGCUGCACAUCUACAGCCAUCAGAUCAU